UGGGGAAUCUUGCGCAAUGGGCGAAAGCCUGACGCAGCCAUGCCGCGUGGAUGAUGAAGGUCUUAGGAUUGUAAAAUCCUUUCACCGGUGAAGAUAAUGACUGUAGCCGGAGAAGAAGCCCCGGCUAACUUCGUGCCAGCAGCCGCGGUAAUACGAAGGGGGCUAGCGUUGCUCGGAAUUACUGGGCGUAAAGGGAGCGUAGGCGGACAUUUAAGUCAGGGGUGAAAUCCCGAGGCUCAACCUCGGAACUGCCUUUGAUACUGGAUGUCUUGAGUGUGAGAGAGGUGAGUGGAACUCCGAGUGUAGAGGUGAAAUUCGUAGAUAUUCGGAAGAACACCAGUGGCGAAGGCGACUCACUGGCUCAUUACUGACGCUGAGGCUCGAAAGCGUGGGGAGCAAACA
rnacentral:rRNA from 2 species